ACGGGAGGCAGCAGUGAGGAAUAUUGGUCAAUGGGCGGAAGCUUGAACCAGCCAAGUAGCGUGCAGGAUGACGGCCCUACGGGUUGUAAACUGCUUUUGUAUGGGGAUAAAAAGCGGGACGCGUCCCGCCUUGUAGGUACCAUAAGAAAAAGGACCGGCUAAUUCCGUGCCAGCAGCCGCGGUAAUACGGAAGGUCCGGGCGUUAUCCGGAUUUAUUGGGUUUAAAGGGAGCGCAGGCGGCCUGUUAAGCGUGUGGUGAAAUGUAGUGGCUCAACCUCUGCACUGCCACGCGAACUGGCGGGCUUGGGUGCGGUGAACGCUGGCGGAAUUCGUGGUGUAGCGGUGAAAUGCUUAGAUAUCACGAAGAACCCCGAUUGCGAAGGCAGCCGGCGGUACCGUUACCGACGCUCAUGCUCGAAAGUGUGGGUAUCGAACAGGAUUAGAUACCCUGGUA
rnacentral:rRNA from 1 species